rnacentral:rRNA from 1 species
GAUGAACGCUGGCGGCGUGCCUAAUACAUGCAAGUCGAACGCUGGAGAUCUAUCUUGCUAGAUCGAAGGAGUGGCGAACGGGUGAGUAAUACAUAAGCAACCUACCCACGAAGACUGGGAUAAUCUCUGGAAACGGGGACUAAUACCGGAUAGGUAAUCGGAAGGCAUCUUCUGGUUAUUAAAGGUUAAAAACACUGGUGGAUGGGCUUAUGGCGCAUUAGUUAGUUGGUGAGGUAACGGCCCACCAAGACGAUGAUGCGUAGCCGGCCUGAGAGGGUGAACGGCCACAUUGGGACCGAGACACGGCCCAGACGCCUACGGGAGGCAGCAGUAGGGAAGUUUCGGCAAUGGGGGCAACCCUGACCGAGCAACGCCGCGUGAGUGAAGACGGCCUUCGGGUUGUAAAGCUCUGUUGUAAGGGAAGAACGGUAGAUAGAGAAUAUCUAAGUGACGGUACCUUACCAGAAAGCCACGGCUAACUACGUG